ensembl:lncRNA
GCACAUCCCUGACCCUGGGGAUAACUCCCACCUCCUGAUGGGGCUGAGCAGGACAUCAAACCAAGCAGUGAGGAAAAGGAACAGCCCUGCUCUCAAAGGAACACAAAAGCAGCUUUUAAAGGAAAGGUGACUGCCCUGAAACUACAAACCCUCCUUAGGAGCUGAUAGAAAAAAUCUCUUUGACAGCAGGAGAGCCUUGGGUUCUGUCUUUGUGUCUCAUCUCCUCAUCCUCCACUCACCACGCUCUUCCCACUGUUGAAUUACUCCCAUAUUUAUGUAACCCUAAAUAUAUAUUGAUUUUUAAACAAACUUUCAGGCUUGCUUUUUUCCCUUUUGCCUUCAGCUUUCUUGUAAAUCUCCAUGCUGCCUCUCAAAUUGCCUCUUCCAUUUUAAUUGCAUUAGGGAAGAAUGCAGCUCCUCUCUCUCCAUUUGCAUCUUUUUGAUGUGAAAACAUUGGGAUGAAAGGUGUCCCUCCUGCUUAAACCUGGUGUGGAAAGGGCCCUUCCUCCUCCUCCCCCUGAGCUGGGGAGCAGAGGAGACAUCAACUCCAGCACUUGUGCUCAGAUAAAAGGGAGUGGGAGCAGUGGAAGAGGAAAAGGAGGAGGAAGGGAUGGGAGAAGGCAGAAAAUGCUCGGAAAAACACAGCGAGAUGUUUUAGCCUUGCUGCAUCUUCUAUAAACUCAUAGGAACAGAAGGCCAGGCUUUGAGAGUAUUUAAAAUAGGCCCAUAAAUUUAUAUGUAUUUAAUUAUGGAUGCUUUAAAUUCUUUGGGAAAUCUGCAGGUUUCAAGUCUCCUAAGUGCUGCUCAGUUUAAUUCCUGGGGGUUCUGGGUCCUUUGGGGUGUGUGCUGCCCCCAUGCAUUGUAUUUGUAGUGUCACCAGGUUUGUGGGUCUUCAACACCACAGAUUUCCCUGCAAAGUCCUCACAUUAAACCUCUUCGUGCCUCUUUCUUCUGUUUCCUUAACCUCCAAAGAGGAAACAUGAUCUGUAUUCGAUUUUUCCACUGGGUCACCCCAAGGAAGGACAUUUGCAUAAACCCCUUGUGCUUCCACCCAGUGCCAGCACUGGCACCUUAGAGAAAGGUUGGAGCAGGCCAAUUAAUCUUUUAAUUAAGUGUACGAAACUCCAGCCCUGCUUUUAUCCCAGUGAACAAGAGAUCUCUGCUCUUCAUUGCUGUUCAGCGUCUUCUGCCCUUGUUAUUCCUGAAGAAGAGAAAAAGGCUGGGAGUUUUGGGAUCGCUCAUUCCAACCCUGGCCAGAUCCACGAGCCAGGGGAGAGCUGUGUUCCUAUAAAAGGAUCAAUAUCUGGUGGGAUCCUGAUUCUCCCUGGGCUUGGAGAACUCUGUGUACAACAAAACCAGGUCAUUUCAGAGCUGAACCUGAUCCCAUCUUCCCUCUGCUUGGAGGAUUCUGAGCAAAACAAUCCCAUGGACGUUUUUGGGAUCCAGAGGGGCUGCUGUGGGCAGGGGCUGUGCUCAGCAGGGCCAGAAAUGCAAGGUGCAGCUUUCCUGGGUGUUUGUUUGACAGAAAACCCACAAGAGGCUAAUUCUGAUUUUAUUUUUAGCCGAGUAAUCCUUGAAGAGUAGAUUAAUUAAAGCCACAGGUGCAUCUGGCUUUAGGCUCUCUUUGGAGCUGAUUUUCACCCCACUGAUUUUCUUGGUGACCUCUGAUAGUUUAAUGUGUUAAUUUAGCCUAAGUGUGAUUUGAUAAGCAGCAGCAGCUUUGAGGGUGUGAUCACAGCCUCCUCGUCACUGCCUGGUCUGGCAAAUCUCAGCUUUGCUCUGUGCAAAGUCCAAACCCCUCUGGAAUGGUUCCUGUUCCCAGGAGCCAUGGACACACUGAACACUUGAUGGAUUCCCUCCCUAAAGCAGCCCCUGGAAGGCACCUGGACAGAUAUUUUAACCUUCUUGUCCAGGAAAUGUGAGGAAAGUUUAUUAUCCUGAGCAUUGGAAUGCUCAGAUGCCAUUUUUAGGGUGGCUUUGCAUCUCCAUGAAAUGCUCCCCAGAGGUGUGAGGACUGAGCUGGCACCAACAUGUGAGGAGGAGACAUUGGGGCUUAUAAUUUUCACAGGAAUAAUAAUAAUUAUUAUCACCAUCAUCAUUAUUAUAAUUAUUAUUUUAAUCUAGAAAAGGGUCUGGUUUUUUUCCCUUUUAAGCUUGGAGAACAGUGCUGUAUCCAGGGGUUCUCUGAGCAUGUUCCUUCCAGGUGUUCCCUUCCAAAGAGACUGUGCCUUUUAAAAGCUCUGUUGAGGUUGUUUUUCUCCAAGCAGCAGCACUAUUCCUGCUUUUGGAAGGUGGAUUUUCCUGCUCAGCCAUUCCUGCCACAGGAGCUUCCAUCACCAGCCCAAGAGUGCACCCUGCAAAAUGGGGAUUCUUUGUCCCUUUGAAAUGAAAUUUUGUGCUUCACUCACUGCUGAUUCAGUUCAGACUCAUUUUUUAUGCUGCUCUUCCCCUCCAAAGUCAGGGGCACUUCCAUCCUGUGAUUACACAGGCAGCCUGGGAAUUUCCCCUUGGUCCAUAAUUUCGGAUGUUAUUCUGUGCAAACACAAGCCCUGCAGUGAGCAGUCCCCAAACCUGCACUGAGCUUAAAUUGCUCAGUGAUUUUUUUU